UACGGAGGGGGCUAGCGUUGUUCGGAAUUACUGGGCGUAAAGCGCACGUAGGCGGCUUUGUAAGUUAGAGGUGAAAGCCCGGAGCUCAACUUCGGAAUUGCCUUUAAGACUGCAUCGCUUGAACGUCGGAGAGGUGAGUGGAAUUCCGAGUGUAGAGGUGAAAUUCGUAGAUAUUCGGAAGAACACCGGUGGCGAAGGCGGCCUGCUGGGGUGGAGCUGACGCUGAGGCGCGACAGCGUGGGGAGCAAACAGG
rnacentral:rRNA from 1 species